CCUACGGGAGGCAGCAGUGAGGAAUAUUGGUCAAUGGACGAGAGUCUGAACCAGCCAAGUAGCGUGAAGGAUGACUGCCCUAUGGGUUGUAAACUUCUUUUAUAUGGGAAUAAAAUGUUCCACGUGUGGGAUUUUGUAUGUACCAUAUGAAUAAGGAUCGGCUAACUCCGUGCCAGCAGCCGCGGUAAUACGGAGGAUCCGAGCGUUAUCCGGAUUUAUUGGGUUUAAAGGGAGCGUAGGUGGAUUGUUAAGUCAGUUGUGAAAGUUUGCGGCUCAACCCCGGCCGGCCGUUGAAACUGGCGUGCUCGAGUUGGAGAGAAGUAUGCGGAAUUCGUGGUGUAGCGGUGAAAUGCAUAGAUAUCACGAAGAACCCCGAUUGCGAAGGCAGCAUACCGGCUCCACACUGACGCUGAGGCACGAAAGCGUGGGUAUCGAACAGGAUUAGAUACCCCAGUAGUC
rnacentral:rRNA from 1 species